UUCCCGUUCUAAGGGACAUGUGGUUCGUGCCAGCCAGUUGAUGUGGGCGCUUUCUUCUGCCCCUACUCCCGGCUGUCCGCUUCCUCCCCAGCCCCCUCCUGUGAGCUCUGGGAGCUGCAGAAUAAGGACACUCCUUGGCCCCAAGCCAGCCCCAGCUUGCUCGGGAGCCUGGGUUUCCCCCUCCGUCCCCAUCACCGCGAGGGUCUGUGCAUGGGAAUCUGCUCCAGAGGCUCCCUCAGGCGCCGCGCCGCGGGGAUACGCCUUUCACCGCCCCAGUAAUUGGAGCGCUGAGUCGAAGUCCUGAUUCCACGGUAGGCGUAUGAAGCCCUAACGCUGAAAUUCUUUCCUCUAGGUCUUUGGCAGCGGCUGGGGCCAAAGCCCGGGCAAGACCAACGCCUUCGGCACCCGGACUCAGGCUUCGUCCUCUCUGCCCCCGUGCGGCUACAAUGACUCGACGUGGCAGGUGGGCAAGCACAGCACGCCCCAACAGACAUGCUUUAUUUAAUAUGUACUAAAAAUACAGCAGGCCUGUGAAACCCACAGGUGCAAUUGCUUAAAAUGAGGCUAAGGUAGACGUGUGAAUGGUUAAUAAUGAGUUGAUUAAAAUAUUCAGAAAUCAUCUACUGGAGACGGGCAAACUGCAAAAUGGUAGCAUGGGAGCAACUGAUGUUCGAGAAAGCCCAGGCUCCGGCAAGCCGUGGAUUUGAAUUUACACAUGCGCACAUAAUGGGUAUGAAUAAAACUUUCUUCAAAAAAACCAGAUCAAGUCAAGGCAGUUAUUUGCUGUGGGCAGGUGCCAAGGCUGGCUGCUUCAGUCCCCACGCGAGUCGCCCCCGAGCCUGCUUCUGCAGCCCAGCCUGGAAAGUGCAAGGCACUUGGAAAGGAGCCACGCCCAACGCCCUGUACCAGCGGCCUCCCAGACACCAACAGCGUCCUCUGCGCCUGCUGCAGCUUGUCCCUUAGUCCUCCCUGGACAGAGGGCGUGAAGUUGGCUGCGCCAACAGCACGCGGCCCGCUCACUUCGGGGCUCAUUGUCCUGGACACACAGUCAGGGCUGGACGCCUCCAGCAGCCCCACGCUUCACCCCGAGGUCCGCAAACCUGACAACUUCGGAGGUAGGGAUAUCUUGACACAGUCUGAAAACAAACCAUUUAAAACUUUUUUUCUCAAAAAAUUAAAAUAAUUUUUUUCUGCUUACAAAAUCUAUAAAUUCAGUUCAAUAUCAAUGAAAAUCGCAACAGGAUGUUGACACUUGAGAAGCUGAUUUGAAAGUUCAUCUGAAAGAGAAAAUAUAUAGGAAUCCUGAAGAUGAUUUCGAAAACCUCCAAAAAGACCUCAGUAAUUCACACAGAAAAUCCAGAAACAGAUUCAUGUUUAUGGGGAAAUUUAGUAUUUGAUACAGGAGACCUUUCAAAGCCAAGCUGGAAAGAUGGAAGGUCAACAGAGGCUUUGGGGAAAACUCACUAUCCAUUUUGAAACCAAUGUUAGAAUCUUCUUACCAUUUGCAAGAAUAAACUCCAGGUGUAUUAAAGAGCUAAACAUUUAAAAAAUCUAUAAAAGUUUUAGAGCCAAAUAUGGAAGAAUAUUUUUAAAAUCCUAUGGUGAAGAAGGCUUUUACUAAGCAGCAAACAAAACCUGGAAACCGUAAAGGAAAUGACUGACAGAUUUGAAUAUUGCAAAAACUAAAUGAAUGCCUCCUUAAACAAAUUAAAGGACAAAUUCCAGGCAGGGAGAAAAUAGUUUACAAUAGAAGUAAUGUGCCAAUGGUUAAUAUCUGUGUUGCAUAAACAUGUCUUUCCAAUCAAUAAGAAAAGAGUAGGAAAUGGGUAAGGAUUUAACAGGCAAUUCACAGAAGACAAAGUAACCGGCCCCUAAAUAGGAGCAUAUCCUCAACUUCACUAGUAAUAAAGGAAACGAAUUUAAAAGACGAUACAUUUCUCACGUCUUCUCUCCUUAUAGCUGUAUUCCACCUUUGACCAUACAGCCUGUUUUUAUUUAUCGUAAGCAUAGGUUAAUAAAUACAGGGCUUACCAUGUUAAUAUCUUCUUUCUAUGGAUGCGUAACAACUUAUUUUAUCAUUCUGUUUGUGACUGAAAUUGAAUUUCUUUCUGUAAACCUGAAAAUAUCUGAGACAAGCCUCGAUCAACUUAGAAGUUUACUUUGCCAAGAUUAAGGACACGUCUUGGGAGACAGGUCUGUGCCUUUCUCCAAAGAUGAUUUCGAGGGCUUCAGUAUUUAAAGGAAAAAGCCAGCUGGAGGGGACAGAGGGAGGGUAUGGUCACAUUACUGAAUCCAAAUGUUGCAAAAGAAAAGGAGCAUGUAGGGGAAUGGUCAAUUAUGUGUUCGUCCCAUGCUCAGUAACUCGACUCUUCACACAAGAUAAGGCCACUGCCUUCAGAGAAGGUGACAGAGGGCCAUGUCUGAAACAUUCUCCCACAACCAGGAACCCUCAGCAGCUGCUGAAGAGGAAAGGCAGUUAAAUGGAAAGACUUCUGAGCAAGUGGAAGAAAAGUCACGUGUGACCUAGGGAGGGGCUCCCACAGGAAGGGGCAAUGCCCUUGCCCUGUUCACCUAGCCUCCAGGUGGCUCCCCACUUGAAAUUUCAGAGGAUGGCAGAAACCUACUUACAAGGAAAUGAAAGAGGGCACAGCAACCUUAAGACCAGAGCAGCCCACGAUAUUUUUUAAUGAGGGCAAAAAUAGGAGACUUGCAAAAGACCCCUGAAAAUAAUGCCUGGAAGCUGCGAAACAUCAGACUGACACCGCACAAAAGAGGUCCAGCUGAGCAGGAGAAAAGCUUGAGAAGCAUCCAGAACAAUGUAGGUGGAGAGGCUAAGAAGAAAGAGGAGCCCACAUGGAAUGAAUAACCAAGGUCGGGACAGAGGAAGGUUCGCCAGAACUGGGAGGGCUGAAAUUGGACAUUGAGAUAAGUUAAAGAGUGUUCUUUAAAACUGUCAAGACUUUGGCUGGUCAAUAAGUAAACUGCAAACGAGUGUUCCUAAACCACAGCAGCAAUGCUCCCUGGAGGAGGGAAGGAGGCCGGGGCUGCCACUCUCCCAGCUGGCUGCGUCCCGGCCUUUGCCAUUGAUGUGUGCUUUCUCCAGGCUCACAGAUGUCCCUGGGCCGGUUGCAUCUGUGACCAGGACUCUGCCACCUGCCUGUGGCUGGCUGAUCAGCUGGUCACCCAGGAAUGUUAGGGAUGAACAGAGACCUAGAACUCAGGCUCCAUGGAUCUGGCAGCACCAGGAGACGAGGUUUCAAAUCUCAUGGCUGGGCCAGCCAGCCAGGUGCCCUGGAACUGUUGUGAUCCCUGCUCCUUGCCGGGCUUAGCCUCCUCUUACUUCAGCCCAGAAGUCCCCGAGUACCCACUCAACAAAUGCCAUCCCUUUAAUUUCUGUGGCCUGCUGCCAUCACGACUCGCCUAAUUCAUUCCCUCCACACCCUAAGUGUCCACAGAAGUGGCUGAAACAGUAAAACCACAGAGGAGCAUUCAUUCCAGUCCCCAAGGCGAGCCCCCUCCUUUGCACCCUGCUGUUUGGUUGAUUUCUUCUUUCUUCACUUCCCAGGAUGUGGAGCAGAUUCCCUGUGGCAUGAUUACCUGAGGCCAGGUACAGACUGGCUCCAGGGAAGCACAGGGCUGGGGUCCCAGUUCCCACACCGGGCCAUUCAUUAACAGGUGGGAAGAGUUCCACCACUUCUGAGGAAUUAGCAGGCUCCAGGUGACCCUAUGUCACCCCAAAUGACUCUCCAUUCCCCACAGACUCAGCCACAGGGCCAACAGUUUCUAUUGCUAUCUUUCCCUCCAGAAAACCCCUGGGCCAUCUCGCCUGCCCAGCUCCUGCUCCUCCCCAAGGGAGGGCUACAGUUAAAGAAGGGAAAGUGGCUAAUUCACUAAGUAAUUAACUUAAGGAGUGUCUAUUGAACAUCUACUGUGUGCAAGAUGCUGUUCUAGAUUUGAGAUACAAAACAGGGAAAGAGAAGGCCCUGCUCUCACGGAUGGGCAUUAGAAGAGUGGGGUUGAUAAACACGAGGAUCAGUGAAGAGCAUUCCAGGCAGGAAUAAGCACUGCAGAGGAAAGAGGAUGAGAUGAGAAGGGAGAGCGAGCGAGCAGCAGUGGGGGAGGUGUCCGUGGGGUUGAGUCUGGACGAGGGGAGGGAAGCAGCCAGUGCUUAGCAGGAAGACAGGGCAGGGGUGCAGCUCCCAGAAGGAGACAAAGAGGACCUUUCGAAGGUCUGCAGGUGGCAGGAGGGGCAGAGGAGGCUGGACCCAGGUAAGAAGUCAUUGCAGGGGUCCAAGCCAGGAGAGGACAAAUCUGAUGGAGGUUUAAAAGGCUCAGUUGUCUGCCUGGUGGAGAAGAGACGAAGGGGCAGAGGGGGAAAAAGUGAUGGACUAAGGAUAGAUUUUGGAGGCAGAGCAAACAGGAGAGCAUGAAAGAAACAGAGAAUCAAAGAUGAUGUUUAGGCCAGGGGCGGUGGCUCAUGCCUCUAGUCCCAGCACUUUCGGAGGCUGAGGUGAGAGGAUCGCUUAAGCCCAGGAGUUCAAGACCAGCCUGGGCAACAUAGCAAGACUGCAUCUCUAAAAAAAAAAAAAAAAAAAAAAAAAAUUAGCCAGGUGUGGUGGUGCACACUUGUAGUCUCAGCUACUUGGGAGGCUGAAGUGGGAGAAUCGCUUGAGCUGGGUAUGUUGAGGGUACAAUGAGCCAUGAUUGUGCCACUGCACUCUAGCAGUGGAUGACAGAGUGAGGCCCUGUCUCAAAAAGAAAAGAUGAUGAGUUAUUGGUUUGGGACCAUUUUCUGACCUAGGGAAGACAGAGGAGAAGCUGGCUUGUGGGUGGGUGGUAUCUGGAGCUCCGUUUUGGCCAGGUUACAUUCCAGGCGCCUCCUCGGGGUCUGGGAGGAGCUGUGGAGAACCCAGACAUGACUGUAGGGGUGAAGCAUUUCUGGCCUGUGUAAGCACACACCUGGUGGCCACAGGGCCUGGGCUGUCUGAGAGAGGUCUGGUUUGAGAUGUGUCAACGUCAGACUCUAAAUGCCUCUCACCCCAGGGCUCCGGUAGCCCCUUCCGUGCCUGUCCAGAAGACCCUGCAGAAAGUGCUCAUGGUGGUGUCAUCUCACCUGCAGUAUUUGUUCCUAAAUCAGCACAAGUCGGAUCCUAGCAAGGGCCAUGGAAUAUGCUUAGAGGGUGACACAUACACUGCCACUGCCUAUUUCUAUUCAUGAACUCACUUUUGAAAGUGUCCCAUUUUGAGAUAAUUUUAGACUUAUAGAAGAGUUGCGAAAGCAGCCUCCCCACCCCCAGCCUCUUCUCAUGCCGGCAUUCCAUGAAUCAGAGUGCGAUUAUGAGAGCUGAGACUCACCUCGCCGUGGUCUCGAGAGCUGGACGGCAGGCAGGCCCCCCCCAGCGCCCUCCUCUGUUCCCAGCUCCCACGUGCAUUUGGCUGUCACCUCUCUCUGUCUCCUUUCUGUGUCAGGGCCGGCUUUUUAAGAGGAUGGGUCUGUCGCUCUUGGACAGUCUCUCCGCCUAGGUCUGCCUGACGCCUUCUCUGCAUUGGACUGAGAUGCAGGGUCUUGUUAUGUUACCCAAGCUGGACUUGAACUCUGGGCUCAAGCAAUCCUCCCACCUCAGCCUCCCAAGUAGCUAGGACAACAGGCACGUGCCACGGCGCCUUAGUAACUUUCUGUGUGGUGAUUAAUUCUAAACUUAAUUUUUAAAAUUUUGUUAGUUAAACCUUGAAAUGUCUUCUUUUAUAGUUUCUAGCUACAGUGUUAUACUUGCCCUGUUUUAUAUUUGCUAAAAGAGUCACCUGUUUUUUUUUCUAGCAUCAUAUUUUAACAGCCUUAUUCAUCUUUAUGCUUAAGUAAUGAAUCUGGAACUUAUUUUGAUGUAAGAUAUCAUGCAAUGUAUCUAACUUUUACUCCAAAUGAUAAGCCUGUUGACCUAACACUACUUUUUAAUUAAUUUAUUAUUGCCCCACUGUUGUAAAAUAUUGCUUUCUAUCAUAUACUAAAUUUCAUAUAAAUUUGAAUCCAUUUAUGGUUUCACAAUCCAGUAUAUUCUUUUUUUAUUUCAGUCAUUUUUGGGGAACAGGUGGUUUUUGGUUGCAUGGAUAAGUUCUUUAGUGGUGAUUUCUGAGAUUUUGGUGAACCCAUCACCCAAACAGUGUGCACUGUACCCAGUAUGUAGUCUUUUUUCCCUCACCCACCUCUCCCCACACGUCCCCAAAGUCCAUCGUAUUAUUCUUAUGCCUUCGCAUCCUCAUAGCUUAGCUCCCCCUUAUAAGUGAGAACAUAUGAUAUUUGGUUUUCUAUUUCUGAGUUACUUAACUUAUUCAUUAUUCAUGGCCUCCAGCUCCAUUUAAGUUGCUGCAAAGGCCAUUAUUUCAUUCUGUCUUAUGGCUGAAUGGUAUUCCAUGUUUAUAUACCACAUUUUCUUUAUCCACUCAUUGGUUGAUGGGCAUUUAGGUUGGUUCCAUAUUUUUGCAAUUCUGAAUUGUACUGCUAUAAACAUGCGUGUGCAAGUGUCUUUUUCAUAUAAUGGCUUCUUUUCCUCUGGGUAGGUACCCAGUAGCAGGAUUGCUGGAUCAAAUUGUAGUUCUACUUUUAGUUCUUUAAGGAAUCUCCAUACUGUUUUCCGUAGUGGUUGUACUAGUUUACAUUCCUACCAGCAGUGUAGAAAUGCUCCCUUUUCACCACAUCAAUGCCAACAUCUACUAUUUUUUCAUUUUUUAAUUAUGGUCAUUUUUGCAGGAGUAAGGUGGUAUCUCAUUGCGGUUUUGAUUUGCAUUUUCCUGAUAAUUAGUGAUGUUCAGCAUUUUUUCAUAUGUUUGUUGGUUGUUUGUAUAUCUUCUUUUGCAAAUUUUCUAUUCAUGUCCUUAGCCCACUUCUUGAUGGGAUUAUUAGGUUUUUUUUUUUUCUGAUUUGUUUGAUUUCCUUGCAGAUUCUGGAUAUUAGUCCUUUGCUGGAUGUAUAGAUUGUAGAGAUUUUCUCCCACUUUGCGGGUUGUCUGUUUACUCUGCUGAUUAUUAUUAUUAUUAUUAUUAUUAGCAGCUGUGCAGAAGCUUUUUAGCUCCAUUAUAUCUCAUUUAUUUAUUUUGUCCUUGUUGCAUUUGCUUUUGUGUUUUUAGUCAUAAAUUCUUUGCCUAAGCCAAUGUCUACAAGAGUUUUUCUGAUGUCAUCUUCUAGAAUCUUUAUGGUUUCAGUUCUUAGAUUUAAGGCUUUGAUCCAUCUUGACUUGAUUUUUGUAUAAGGUGAGAUAUGAGGAUCCAGUUUCAUUCUACAUGUGGCUUGACAAUUGUCCCAGCACCAUUUGUUGAACAGGGUGUCCUUUCCUCACUUUAUGUUUUUGUAUGCAUUGUUGAAGAUCAGUUGGCUGUAAAUAUUUGGCUUUAUUUCUGGGUUCUCUAUUCUGUUCCAUUGGUCUAUAUGCCUAUUUUUAUACCAGUACCAUGCUGUUUUGGUAACUAUAGCCUUGUGAUAUAGUUUGAAGUCAGGUAAUGUGAUGCCUCCAGAUUUGUUCUUUCUGCUUAGUAUUGCUUCAGCUAUGCAGGCUCUUUUUUGGUUCUAUAUAAAUUUUAGGAUUGUUUUUUCUACUUCUGUGAGGAAUUAUGAUGGUAUUUUGAUGGGAAUUGCAUUAAAUCUGUAGAUUGCUUUUGGCAUUAUAGUCAUUUUCACAAUAUUGAUUCUACCCAUCCAUGACCAUGGGAUGUAUUUCUAUUUCUUUGUGUCAUCUAUGAUUUCUUUCAGCAGUGUUUUGUAGUUUUCCUUGUAGAGAUCUUUCACUUCCUUGGUUAAGUAUAUUCCUAAGUAUGUAUGUAUGUAUGUAUGUAUGUAUGUAUGUAUGUAUGUGUUUAUUUAUUUAUUUUGCAGCUGUUGUAAAAGGAAUUGAGUUCUUGAUUUGAUUCUCAGCUUGGCUGUUGUUGGCGUAUAGCAGUGCUACUGAUUUAUGUACAUUGAUUUUGUAUCCUGAAAGUUUACUGAAUUCAUUUAUCGUAUCUAGGAGCUUUUAGUUAAAAUGAACUCAUUGGUUAGCCCUAAUCUGGUAUGACUGCUAUACUCAUAAAAAGAGGAGAUGACUGCCGGGCACGGUGGCUCAUGCCUGUAAUCCCAGCACUUUGGGAGGCCGAGGAGGGCAGAUCACGAGGUCAGGAGAUCGAGACCAUCCUGGCUAAAACAGUGA